rnacentral:rRNA from 1 species
UGGGGAAUAUUGGACAAUGGGCGAAAGCCUGAUCCAGCCAUGCCGCGUGUGUGAAGAAGGUCUUCGGAUUGUAAAGCACUUUAAGUUGGGAGGAAGGGCAGUAAGCGAAUACCUUGCUGUUUUGACGUUACCGACAGAAUAAGCACCGGCUAACUCUGUGCCAGCAGCCGCGGUAAUACAGAGGGAGCAAGCGUUAAUCGGAAUUACUGGGCGUAAAGCGCGAGUAGGUGGUUCGUUAAGUUGAAUGUGAAAGCCCCGGGCUCAACCUGGGAACUGCAUCCAAAACUGGCGAGCUAGAGUAGGGCAGAGGGUGGUGGAAUUUCCUGUGUAGCGGAGAAAUGCGUAGAUAUAGGAAGGAACACCAGUGGCGAAGGCGACCACCUGGGCUCAUACUGACACUGAGGUGCGAAAGCGUGGGGAGCAAACAGG